rnacentral:rRNA from 1 species
UACGUAGGGUGCGAGCGUUGUCCGGAAUUAUUGGGCGUAAAGAGCUCGUAGGCGGUGUGUCACGUCGGCCGUGAAAACCUGGGGCUUAACUCUGGGCGUGCGGUCGAUACGGGCAUCACUAGAGUUCGGCAGGGGAGACUGGAAUUCCUGGUGUAGCGGUGAAAUGCGCAGAUAUCAGGAGGAACACCGGUGGCGAAGGCGGGUCUCUGGGCCGACACUGACGCUGAGGCGCGAAAGCCAGGGGAGCGAACGGG